GUGGGCGUAGCUCAAUUGGAUAGAGCAUCGGUCUACGGAACCGAAGGUUACAGGUUCGAAUCCUGUCGCCCAUA
rnacentral:tRNA from 1 species